rnacentral:sRNA from 1 species
GUUUUGCGGCAUCUUCUGCUCUGGUGGCUGCUGCUCCGGCAGCAGUACUGCUUUGCGCCGCCAGUGAUGCGCUGGUAUCAGAUGCGGCGGCGUGAGUGCAUGCCUCCCCGAAUUUUGUGGUCGCCGUACCUGCGCUGCUCUCCACAGAUGCUGCGGAUGAGGCUGCCUGUGUGGCUGAUGCUUCUGCCGCUCCGGCUGCAUUCACUG